rnacentral:rRNA from 1 species
AGCGAACGCUGGCGGCAGGCUUAAUACAUGCAAGUCGAGCGCCUGUAGCAAUACAGGAGCGGCAGACGGGAGAGUAACACGUGGGAACGUGCCCUUUGGUUCGGAACAACACAGGGAAACUUGUGCUAAUACCGGAUAAGCCCUUACGGGGAAAGAUUUAUUGCCAAAGGAUCGGCCCGCGUCUGAUUAGCUAGUUGGUGGGGUAAUGGCCCACCAAGGCGACGAUCAGUAGCNGGUCUGAGAGGAUGAUCAGCCUCAUUGGGACUGAGACACGGCCCAAACUCCUACGGGAGGCAGCAGUAGGGAAUAUUGGACAAUGGCGCAAGCCUGAUCCAGCCAUGCCGCGUGAGUG